UGCUCACACAGGUGUGUACAUGCAGAACUUCCAUCCACCUUCGUCCGCUUAUCCGUUACCGGGUCACGGGGCAGCAUUCUCCACGACCUCCAACCAAAUCACACUGCACCGCACCAGACCCUCGUGAACCUGUGGUGAGUCGUGGGUUGCACAGGGGAGUGGGGACGUGAUGACGGUGACCACUUGGUUCCAGAUGUUUCUCUGGACGUUUGAUGAGGCCCUGAUUUAAAUGGUCUGACAUCCUGUUACGGCGUGGCAGCCUGUGUCCUGAUUGGAGCUCAGCUGGAUUAUUAUUCUUCCUCAUAAAAUAUGAAAGGGAGCGAAAACACGACAUCUGUGUUUUGGUCAUCACGUCGCUGCCUCUGAAACUUUCCACCAACGGCGACUUCCUGUGGGAUGGUGUUGCUGGUGACGCCUGAGUGCAUGGUGUGUCCCGAAUGCCCUGGAUGCAGGGUGUGAGAUGGAUAUGAGGAAUGGGGCAAGUGGCCGGGAGGUACUCCAUAUCCAGAGGAUGUGACGGUGUGACCUGAUGG